AUGAGUAAUUUCCCUCACAACUACUAAUGUGAGGGGUGAGUUUACUGAUUUAAAGUUAUGUUUCUUUCUCUUUUUAGGUAUCAUAAAGAAAUGAAGGCGAUUUUCAGGUUGUCUUACUCUUUGUAAAUUACAGUGAGGCUUUGAGGUGUUAUGGAUGUGUUGGAAAAGGCUGUUCAGGUAGACAAGAGAAAUGUGGCUCUCUUUUGCGAAAUCCUGUCUGUGCCAUCAUAGAUGCCCCAAGAUUUUCUAUGAAAGGAUGCAUGAGUGAGUACCUCUGUAGGGAGCAACAGCAGGCUCCCGCUACCACUGCUACCUGCUGCAGUACCGACUUCUGCAACCACUAAGAAGGACAUCACCCAUGGUCCCUUUAUGACCAUCACUAGCCGAGAUGUUAAAAUCCAUUAAUCAUUCAUAUUUCAUCUGUAUAAAAUAUAAUGUGUACAUUUCAGGCAUCUGCAUUAAUUGAUUUGUUUUGUUAAAUAAUGGGAAUUUUUAUUUCCAUUAAAUAAAAGAAUUAACUGCA